rnacentral:rRNA from 1 species
GAUGAACGCUGGCGGCGUGCCUUAAGCAUGCAAGUCGAACGGUGAGAGUCGCAAGAUUCAAGCAGUGGCGGACGGGUGAGUAACACGUGGGUAACCUGCCCAUAAGACUGGGAUAACUCCGGGAAACCGGGGCUAAUACCGGAUAACAUUUUGAACCGCAUGGUUCGAAAUUGAAAGGCGGCUUCGGCUGUCAAUUAUGGAUGGAACCGCGUCGCAUUAGCUAGUUGGUGAGGUAACGGCUCACCAAGGCAACGAUGCGUAGCCGACCUGCGAGGGUGAUCGGCAACACUGGGACUGGGGACCGGCCCAGACUCCUACGGGAGGCAGCAGUAGGGAAUCUUCCGAAAUGGACGAAAGUCUGACGGAGCAACGCCGCGUGAGUGAUGAAGGCUUUCGGGUCGUAAAACUCUGUUGUUAGGGAAGAACAAGUGCUAGUUGAAUAAGCUGGCACCUUGACGGUACCUAACCAGAAAGCCACGGCUAACUACGUGCCAGCCGCCGCCGUAA